GUUCACACUCAUACUUCCUAGCUGAUACUGGCUGAUCUCAAAAAACUAAACCAGGUUAGGCCUGGUUAGUACUUGGGUGGGAGGCCACCAGGAAAUCCUUGGGAUGGAGGCUAAACU
rnacentral:rRNA from 1 species